GGCGGUCCUUCAAGUUCGGUGUGAAAUCUCCCGGCUCAACCGGGAGGGUGCGCCGGAUACUGAGGGGCUCGAGUGCGGGAGAGGAAAGUGGAAUUCCUGGUGUAGCGGUGAAAUGCGUAGAUAUCAGGAGGAACACCGGUGGUGUAAACGGCUUUCUGGACCGUAACUGACGCUGAGACACGAAAGCGUGGGUAGCAAACAGGAUUAGAUACCCUGGUAGUCCACGCCCUAAACGAUGCAUAUUUGGUGUGGGUCAUUCAGUUGAUCCGUGCCGGAGCUAACGCGUUAAAUAUGCCGCCUGGGGAGUACAGUCGCAAGGCUGAAACUCAAAGGAAUUGACGGGGGCCCGCACAAGCGGUGGAGCAUGUGGUUCAAUUCGACGCAACGCGAAGAACCUUACCUGGGCUCGAACGGCUGGUUAACGACCUUGGAAACAGGGUUACUCCGCAAGGAGGUCCAGUCGAGGUGCUGCAUGGCUGUCGUCAGCUCGUGUCGUGAGAUGUUGGGUUAAGUCCCGCAACGAGCGCAACCCUUGUCCUGUGUUGCCAUGGCGCAAGCCGGAACUCGCAGGAGACCGCCAGCGAUAAGUUGGA
rnacentral:rRNA from 1 species